rnacentral:rRNA from 1 species
AGUGAACGCUGGCGGCAGGCCUAACACAUGCAAGUCGAGCGGCAGCGCGGGGGCAACCCUGGCUGCGAGCGGCGGACGGGUGAGGAAUUCGUCGGAAUCUGCCUUUUUGUGGGGGAUAACGUAGGGAAACUUACGCUAAUACCGCAUACGUCCUACGGGCGAACGUGGGGGACCGCAAGGCCUCACGCAGAAAGAUGAGCCGACGACCGAUUAGCUAGUUGGUGGGGUAAAGGCCCACCAAGGCGACGAUCGGUAGCUGGUCUGAGAGGAUGAUCAGCCACACUGGGACUGAGACACGGCCCAGACUCCUACGGGAGGCAGCAGUGGGGAAUAUUGGACAAUGGGCGCAAGCCUGAUCCAGCCAUGCCGCGUGUGUGAAGAAGGCCUUCGGGUUGUAAAGCACUUUUGUCCGGAAAGAAAUCCCUGGAGCUAAUACCUUCGGGGGAUGACGGUACCGGAAGAAUAAGCACCGGCUAACUUCGUG